UCAAAUGACUUCCAGAAAUGGGGUGAGAAGAAUCUCUUCAAGUUCAGCUAAGGUGAAAUGCAAACUCCCACCCCAGGGGAGGAAUAAUCCUUAUGCACAGAACACCAUGUGGGCUGACCAGCCAGGAAGCAGCUUUGCAGAGAGGGCUGUGGAAAAUUCAGUAGAUAACAAGUUGACCAUGAACCAGCAACGUGCCCUUGCUGCACAGUAUCUUGGGAUACAUUAGGAGGGAUGUUGCCAGGCAUGUCCAGGGAGGUGGUCCUUCCUCUCUAUUCAGCACUGAUGAGACCGAAUCAAAGAACACAUUGAUAAGAUCCCCCUGGAGCCUUCUCUUCUCCAUAUUGAACAGUCCCAGCUCUCUCAUCUGCCCCUCAUAUGACAGGCAUUUCAGUCUCUUAACCAUCUCCAAGGGCCUUUGCGGGACGUUCUCCAGUAGCUCCAUCUCUCUCUUGUACUUGAGAGACCAGAACGGGUCACAUUAUUCCAGAUAUGACCUCACAGACAUGUCUGGAGCACUAUGUCCAGUACAAAAGAGGCAUGGAUGUAAUGGAGUGGGCCCAGGAAAGGACCAUGAAGGUAAUUAAGGACUUAGACCAUCUGACAUCCAGGUAUCAGCUAAGAGAGUUGGAAUUGUUUAGCCUGGAGAAAACAAUGGUCAAGAGAACCUUAUGAAGGGCGGUCAAACACUGGACCAGGCUACUUAGAGAGGCUGCAGUCUACAUCCUCAGGGAUAACUGAAAGCCAUUUGGACAGUCCUGGGCAACUGGCUCUAGACAGUCCUGCUUAAGAAAGUGGUUGGACCAGAUGAUCUCCAGAAGUACCUCUUCCAGCUGUGACCAUUCUGUGAUUCUGAGCAUUGACACUAUGCUCUGUUUUGAACUAGCAUUUCCUCUAAUUGCCUGUUAUUGCCUAGGUAAGAACAUCUCUUUACAUCUCUCCUGCUCCUCACUACAGGAUUACUGCAUUUUCCUUUCUGCUUUAUUUUCCAAGUUUAUUCUACAGCCUGUUUUCAUUCAUGUUUUGCUUUAAAAGUUUUAGCUUAUGGUGCUUUUACUUCCAUUGUUGAACCUGACUUGUUCUGAAUUUCUCCAAACCCCUGCUCACCGGAGGUGUUUUGGUAAAGCUGCUGUCAUUACAGAUUUCAUCAAUAAUGUCAUCUAGAUCUUCUUCACUGCUGCCAGCACUCAGUAACACUUUAGCUGAGCUGAAAAACAAAUAAACCAGCCUUCAAUUUUA